rnacentral:lncRNA from 1 species
GGCCAGGAUUAUCUCAGGAUUUCAUGAAGAGGAGAAAUGGAGGUCAUUUCCUAGAGAUUAAUGGAUAAUUUGAUUGUGAGAAGAAAAUUGUUUAAGGAGCAGGGGUGGGUGUGGAGGCAAAUGUCACACACCCCAGAAGGUAAAGUGACCUGGCUCUUCCCCUCUCACUCCUUGGAAAGAGGGAAAGCUCAUCAGAGCCAGGACCCUGGAAAAGUGAUGUGAUGAAGAGAAGGAGGCCCUGAAUACCACCAUCUGAAGGCAUUUCCAAGGAAGCCAGGGAUGUGACUCUGUCUUGGUUGCAGAGAUCAAAACGUUUUGUGAAGGAAGCAAUGGCUCUCUAGCCCCCUUCUGGGUGGAUUCUGGGGUAGAAGGAUCCAUUUCCUUUGAUAACUGGUUAGUUAUAGCUAUAGGGUGAAGCCAAUUGAGUAACAUUGGUCUGGGCUUCCAGAGACACAAGGUCUUCUUGAACCA